UGGCCAGAUGUAGCCUAACCAGAGUUUUAUAAAGUUGCAACAUAACCCCUCCACAUUUGAACUCAAUGCCUCGACUAAUAAGAAAGCAUUCUAUAUAAACCUUCUCUGCCACCUAUCGACCCGUGUAGCCACUUUCCAGGAGCUGUGAACUUGGAUCCCGAGAUCUCCCUGCUCAGCAACAUCUUUAAGGACCAGUGUACCGAGUCCUGGUAUUUGCCGUACCGAAAUGCGACACCUCACAUUUAUCUGGGUUAAACUCCAUCUGCCAUUUCUCAGCCCGUAGCUACAACAUCUGUAUCACGCUGUACUUUUUCCCUGUCUUCCCCACUGUCCACAACUCCACCAACCUUGGCGUCAUCCGCAAACUUACUAACGCACCCUUCCACAUUUCCAUCCAGGUCGUUUACAUACAUCACAAACUGUAAAGGUCCCAGCGCAGAUCCCAACGGAACGCCGCUAACUACAGACCUCCAGACAGUGACCGCGCUGAUGCCGGCAGCAAUUCCCGUUGCCAGCAAGUUAAGCCAGAAAUGAAAAUUCCUGCAUCGAGCAGCCAACUCUUACUCAGACACAAAAUGCUGAAGGACAAAUAGCUUUGCUGUUACAUCAGCUGAAUUCACGCACGGACCAAAAGAUGAGAAGACUGCAGUCAGCACCAUUCGAUGCCUAUUAAAGAUGUCUCAGAUGUUAAACAAUGUAACAUUCUGAAUGCUGGGUGGUGGGGGUGGGCUGCCAAUGAAUUUCCUAUUGACUCUUAACAUAAUUAUGUCAGGAGAAACUAACCAGACUCGGUCCUGCAAGCACAUUUACAGAAGCAGGUGUGUGAUAAGGACCCAGAGGAUCAUCAGGAACUCCGGCCACCCCAACCACAAAGUUUUUCAGCUGCUACCAUCUGGCAAACAGUACCACAACAGUAAGACCAGGACCAACAGGCUAUGGGACAGCUUCUUUCACCAGGCCAUCAUAAUUUAUCAAUACGUAUUAAUCUGAUUGCAUAUCUGACUACAUACAUGUAUACAAACCAGUUACGUGUACAAUUUUAGUGUUUGGGCAAUAUCCUCCCACAAUUCCCCUUCUUAUUGCAUUGUGACGGAGAUGCAACAUAAAGAUUUUCACUUCCUUGGAUGUAAGA